rnacentral:lncRNA from 1 species
AACAAACCAAAACAUUACCAGGUUCAUGAAAAGUCACAUAAUUUAAGCAAAGAUAAUGAAAUAACAGAAACCAUGUCUAGUUAAAGUACAAGGAAAUAUAAAGGGAACAGAAGGAACAACAAAAUCCAAACUAAGGAAAUAAAACAGAAGGAACAAGAUCCAAACUAACAUAGAGUAACAAGCUGCAUGGUGCCACGUCAGCAGACUACUCAA